rnacentral:rRNA from 1 species
UACGUAGGGUGCGAGCGUUAAUCGGAAUUACUGGGCGUAAAGCGUGCGUAGGUGGUUCGUUGUGUCUGUGGUGAAAUCCCCGGGCUCAACCUGGGAACUGCAUUUGUGACUGCAUGGCUAGAGUACGGUAGAGGGGGAUGGAAUUCCGCGUGUAGCAGUGAAAUGCGUAGAUAUGCGGAGGAACACCGAUGGCGAAGGCAAUCCCCUGGACCUGUACUGACGCUCAUGCACGAAAGCGUGGGGAGCAAACAGG